rnacentral:rRNA from 1 species
CCUGAUCAGCCAUGCGCGUGAGGGAUGAAGGCCUUAGGGUUGUAAAGCUCUUUCAGUGGGGAAGAUAAUGACGGUACCCACAGAAGAAGCCCCGGCUAAUUCCGUGCCAGCAGCCGCGGUAAUACGAAGGGGGCUAGCGUUGUUCGAAAUUACUGGGCGUAAAGCGCACGUAGGCGGAUUGGAAAGUCAGAGGUGAAAUCCCAGGGCUCAACCUUGGAACUGCCUUUGAAACUCCCAGUCUUGAGGUCGAUAGAGAUGAGUGGAAUUCCGAGUGUAGAGGUGAAAUUCGUAGAUAUUCGGAGGAACACCAGUGGCGAAGGUGCCUCACUGCCUCGAUACUGACGCUAAGCCGCGAAAGCUGGGGGAGCAAACAGGAUUAGAAACCCUGGUAGUCCACGCCCUAAACGAUGAAGGCAGAACGCCGGGCAGCCUGACGUCCCGGGGUCGCACCCUAAACGUAUUAAGCCUUCCCCCUUGGGGAACACGGCCGCCAAGUUUAAAACUUCAAAGAAAUU